rnacentral:rRNA from 1 species
GGGAUGCUAAUACCGCAUACGUCCUACGGGAGAAAGCAGGGGACCUUCGGGCCUUGCGCUAAUAGAUGAGCCUAAGUCGGAUUAGCUAGUUGGUGGGGUAAAGGCCUACCAAGGCGACGAUCUGUAGCGGGUCUGAGAGGAUGAUCCGCCACACUGGGACUGAGACACGGCCCAGACUCCUACGGGAGGCAGCAGUGGGGAAUAUUGGACAAUGGGGGGAACCCUGAUCCAGCCAUGCCGCGUGUGUGAAGAAGGCCUUUUGGUUGUAAAGCACUUUAAGCGAGGAGGAGGCUACCGAGAUUAAUACUCUUGGUAGUGGACGUUACUCGCAGAAUAAGCACCGGCUAACUCUGUGCCAGCAGCCGCGGUAAUACAGAGGGUG